UACGUAGGGACCAAGCGUUGUUCGGAUUUACUGGGCGUAAAGGGCUCGUAGGCGGCCAAUUAAGUCAGACGUGAAAUCCCCAGGCUCAACCUGGGAACUGCGCCUGAUACUGGAUGGCUUGAAUCCGGGAGAGGGAUGCAGAAUUCCAGGUGUAGCGGUGAAAUGCGUAGAUAUCUGGAGGAAUACCGGUGGCGAAGGCGGCAUCCUGGACCGGCAUUGACGCUGAGGAGCGAAAGCCAGGGGAGCAAACGGG
rnacentral:rRNA from 1 species